rnacentral:misc_RNA from 1 species
AUUCCAUCUCUAAUCCAUCAGAAAUUUGUGACAAAUGGCUUUUUCGUAAAAAAUUUGUGACAGAAAAAUAUUGCCGUAAAAAAAUUUGUGAAGGAAUGUUUUGCUGUCACAAAUUUUAUUCCUUCACAAAUUUUUGACAGAAAAUAUUUGUCCAUCAUAAAUCUUUGAUAGAAAACAUGAAAUCGUCAAAUACUUUGUGACGAAAUAUAUUAUUCCGUCACAAAUUAGUGACGAAUUAAUAUAUCCGUCACAAAUUUGUGACGAAGUAGCUUAUCCGUCACAAAUUUGUGAUGAAUUGAAUUAUCCAUUAUAAAUUUGUG